GUUAAGCGACUAAGCGUACACGGUGGAUGCCCUGGCAGUCAGAGGCGAUGAAGGACGUGCUAAUCUGCGAUAAGCGUCGGUAAGGUGAUAUGAACCGUUAUAACCGGCGAUUUCCGAAUGGGGAAACCCAGUGUGUUUCGACACACUAUCAUUAACUGAAUCCAUAGGUUAAUGAGGCGAACCGGGGGAACUGAAACAUCUAAGUACCCCGAGGAAAAGAAAUCAACCGAGAUUCCCCCAGUAGCGGCGAGCGAACGGGGAGCAGCCCAGAGCCUGAAUCAGUGUGUGUGUUAGUGGAAGCGUCUGGAAAGGCGCGCGAUACAGGGUGACAGCCCCGUACACAAAAAUGCACAUGCUGUGAGCUCGAUGAGUAGGGCGGGACACGUGGUAUCCUGUCUGAAUAUGGGGGGACCAUCCUCCAAGGCUAAAUACUCCUGACUGACCGAUAGUGAACCAGUACCGUGAGGGAAAGGCGAAAAGAACCCCGGCGAGGGGAGUGAAAAAGAACCUGAAACCGUGUACGUACAAGCAGUGGGAGCACGCUUAGGCGUGUGACUGCGUACCUUUUGUAUAAUGGGUCAGCGACUUAUAUUCUGUAGCAAGGUUAACCGAAUAGGGGAGCCGAAGGGAAACCGAGUCUUAACUGGGCGUUAAGUUGCAGGGUAUAGACCCGAAACCCGGUGAUCUAGCCAUGGGCAGGUUGAAGGUUGGGUAACACUAACUGGAGGACCGAACCGACUAAUGUUGAAAAAUUAGCGGAUGACUUGUGGCUGGGGGUGAAAGGCCAAUCAAACCGGGAGAUAGCUGGUUCUCCCCGAAAGCUAUUUAGGUAGCGCCUCGUGAAUUCAUCUCCGGGGGU
rnacentral:rRNA from 1 species